rnacentral:rRNA from 1 species
GAGGCAAACCCGGGGAACUGAAACAUCUAAGUACCCGGAGGAGGAGAAAACAAAAGUGAUUCCGAUAGUAGCGGCGAGCGAAAUCGGAUUAGUCCAAACCGUACAUGUUCCGGCAUGUGCGGGGUUGUAGGACCACGACAUUCGAGAUGUGAUGAACUAGAACGCUUUGGAAAUAGCGGCCAUAGAGGGUGAUAGUCCCGUAUAGGUAAAGAGCAUUUAGAUAGUGGUAUCCUGAGUAGUGCGGGGCACGUGAAACCCUGUAUGAAUCCGGCGGGACCAUCCGCCAAGACUAAAUACUCCU